UUCCUACGGGACGCAGCAGUGGGGAAUAUUGCACAAUGGGGGAAACCCUGAUGCAGCGACGCCGCGUGGGCGACGAAGCGCUCCGGCGCGUAAAGCCCUGUCAGCAGGGAAGAACAAAGACAGUACCUGACCAAGAAGCCCCGGCUAACUACGUGCCAGCAGCCGCGGUAAUACGUAGGAGGCAAGCGUUAUCCGGAUUUACUGGGUGUAAAGGGAGCGCAGGCGGCGUGGCAAGUCAGAUGUGAAAACCCGGGGCCCAACCCCGGGAGUGCAUUUGAAACUGCCAUGCUGGAGUGCCGGAGAGG
rnacentral:rRNA from 1 species